GUAAUUAAUUAACAACGCUACUUACAUAAAGUCUAUAACCCUGAUGAACCUCCAGUCAUUGAAGGAUCGUUUCCACAGUCAAGAUUUGUCCAAACAAGCAUAUCAAACUGCAUACAGCCAAAUAGUAGAAGCAAGUGGGCCAAUGUCAACUCUGGUAACCACUACCGUUCUAUAAAAAUAACAGCCAAAUAGUAGAAGUAAGGGGGCCAAUGUCAACUCUGGAAACCACUAUCGUUCUAUAAAAAUAACAGCCAAAUAGUAGAAGCAAGCGGGCCAAUGUCAACUCUGGAAACCACUAUCGUUCUAUAAAAAUAACAGCCAAAUAGUAGAAGUAAGGGGGCCAAUGUCAACUCUGGAAACCACUAUCGUUCUAUAAAAAUAACAGCCAAAUAGUAGAAGCAAGCGGGCCAAUGUCAACUCUGGAAACCACUAUCGUUCUAUAAAAAUAACAGCCAAAUAGUAGAAGUAAGGGGGCCAAUGUCAACUCUGGAAACCACUAUCGUUCUAUAAAAAUAACAGCCAAAUAGUAGAAGCAAGCAGGCCAGUGCCAGUCCAGAACUCUGGAAACCACACUCCCUCCAUAACAAUAUAAUGAUAAAUAGACAGUCUCAAAGAAUUUCCACUUAUUGUAGUUACAGACCGCUCGAUUCCAGUAAGAAAUAUUCAUUUUUGGAUAUAUAUUUCUUAGUCAUAAUUUUACCCACUAGAUCAAAAUUUGUUAGAAUUAUAUAAGUACCUAGUAAUAAGGGCUGAAAAAGACUCGAUACCAACCAUUUCAGAAUGGGAAAAUCGUUCCUUAAUGACUACACA